rnacentral:tRNA from 1 species
UUAAGUUUAGUUUAAAUUAAAAUUUAUUAUUUACAAUAAUAAGAUUUAUUUUGUAAAAUUUAAA